rnacentral:lncRNA from 1 species
AGAUGAGCUGACAGACCCUGGCUGAGCAGGAAGUGGCAGGGUCAGGAAAAGCUAGGCCACAAGUUUUCCCUUGAGAGCCUUAGAGUCUAGCCCUGUCGCCCAGGCUGGAGUGCCAUGGUUUGAACUCUACUCACCGCAACCUCCACCUCCCAGGUUCAAAUGAUUCUCCUGCCUCAGCCUCCUGAAUAUCUGGGAUUACAGGCUGGAGUGCGAUGGCGCGAUCUCUACUCACUGCAACCUCCAUCUCCUGGGUUCAAGCAAUUCUCCCUCAGCCUCCCGAGUAGCUAGGACUACAGCCAGCAAGGGAGACAGUGUCUAGAGGCAGUCAUCUAGCAAGAUGGAGACUUACAACAUGAGGCACAUACAAGAGUGACCUCCCAUCGUCUUUGAGGCAUUCUAUUUCUUGUGUCUUUGUGAAGCUUCCUAUCUUUGCUUUUCAACUAAGAUGAAACAGCAUUUAAAAGAAAAUGCCAUGUGAGAUGAGAUCAGGAGAAUGGAUUCUUUCUUUCAUCUGAAUAGAGAGCUGCUGUUCGAGAUUCUAACUCAAAUAGCUCAAAGGACACCUUCUCCGGGAAACCUUCCCUGACUUCCGACGCUGUUUCCUGUUUUGCAGGAAAGAAUACACAAGCUCAGAAUCUCUUGGGCUGAGUGACAAAGGAGGAAAAGGGAUGGUUCCAAGUAGGAUUGGAGCUUCUGCUUCCUCACUUCCUCACGUAGCUCCAUCUGCCUCUUCAGAGAGCUCCCAUCUCCCACUGUGUGCAGCUGAGUUCCAAGCACUCCUGGCGGCAUAAUGACUGGGACAAAGAUAUUUCCUGCAGUUGUCAAUGGUGCUCCUAUACUGAAACUCUCCUAGGAACUUGGCCAAAUCUUCCUGCUCCCCAUCCCUGAUUUCUGUGAACAAGAGGGAAGACUUUGUCACACUUCUCAUUGGUGAUCAUAUUAAUUUCUAGGCCAUGUGUAUCUAGAUAUGAAAUAAUAUUUCUGUUAUUUUAAAAUAUAAGAUCCUUGGAAGAUGUCAUCUAUUGGAACAUGUAACUAUAUAGCCAGAAGAGGAGAUCACUAGAGCCAGACUGCUCUGUCUACAUACUUAAAAAGACAUUUGGAGGAAGAGAGCAUCUGCAAAUGUUGAUGAAAAUGGGUUUGGAACUUCUCUUUUGAUCAGGAAAUAGGUAGACCAUAAAAUGUCUGAUGCAUGUUGCUGCCUGAAGCAAACCCACAAUCUGGAACCCAGUCAUCUUGUUGCUCUAGAAAGCAUCAAGAGAAAAUGGAAGAAGGCUUAAAAGGCCCAUCACAUUUUAAUCUCUAUGGUUGGAUUAAUCAAAAGUUUUCAUAGUUUUACUAAAGAAAAAUGAGUGGUCAUUUAUACUUCAUCUCUAACAAGAAACUUUUUUGUCCAGUGCUCAAAAAUACAUAUGCUAUUAUGCUAUA